rnacentral:misc_RNA from 1 species
AUUGAAAUAGUCAAGCUCAGCUUGGUGAUGGGUUUUCGCCCUCGCAAGAGGGUGGGCCUGAAAGAUAGUGGUGGGUGCUGCCUGAAAGCAACGUAUUGACUUCAUAUGAAUCGUUGAGUUGACAGGAGGUGCGCUGACGCCAGACAAACCCAUUCUUUACGUUUGACCUCGGAUCAGGUAGGGAUACCCGCUGAACUUAA